AUCUCUUUCUGGAGCUUGCUCCCUUUGGAGUUUUUUCUGCUAGCCUAGGACAUGGUUCCACUCCUCCACCUCUGGAACACAUCAAGCUCACAGACCUCACCAGCCUGCCAACACUCAACACUGAAGUUAUAUGCAAAGAGCAGCAAGGUCACAAUGUAACACCCACAGCAAUUGUAAAGCUGCAAUAGGUCCUGGAUCUUACAGAAUCCAUUAUUCUUUCCCUAGAGUUACCCUUCCAGUAGAUUCCUAGGAGCCUUCUUCUAUUCUGGUACUGAAAAUCCCAGCAUUAAAAUAAUGAAGUUGAGGUAUUUAAAGUAUAUUUGCCAAUGAUAUGCUGAACUCGGUUUAAAAAAAAAAAAAAGAUUACAUUUUUUCAAACAAGUUCCAGUUUACCUGAUGUAUUUGCACAUGUAUUCUGCAUUCCAAUAUGCAAGCUAUAAAGUCCAUUUUGAACAAGCAUUACAUAGCAUGGCUAUAUACUCAUGAUUAUGAAGUCCCUUUUGACCCUUGCUUUUCAUAUACUUUAAUAUCAAAGUAUUAUAUUAUUAUAUCUACACAGAGAAAGGAAAUGCUGAAACACCUUUGCUGGUUCUCUGUGUAUUUUUCAAAAUCUUGUGAAAGGAAUUAUGAAUAUUUAUUACAAUCGUAUAUUUAAGUGGCCCUUAUAAAAGCCUUAUCCACAGAUGAAUGGUGCAUAGCACAGAAUGAAUAAGAAACCGCUGAAUAUACUGGAAAUUUUGUAUGACUUCCUUUGCAGUUCUAAAGAUCCCCUCUUGCUUUUCCAUGGAAGAGAGUUACUGAGGCCUGCUGCAUGAAGCUGGCAAACUUCACACCACAGAGGAAUACAUCAGUCCUGACUAGCAAAGCAGGAGAUGGACUGUAUUGCAUAAGGAAGGAUGAAAUUGAGUUGGGCCAUGUUAAAUUAAUGGGUAAAGCUUUCUGAAAUACAAUUUUAUACAUGAAUCUCUGCUACUUUCACAAGUUGCCCAAAGCAAAACUCUUCAGUUGAAUUAUUCACUGAGGACAGAGAGAAUUCUUUCCUCCCCUGAGAAGUGGACUUCUAACCCCCCACCAAAGCUGCAUAUUCUUCCAUCUCAUCUACUCCAUGCUGGAUAAAGCUGGAUUGCUGCUCUCCAGCUGCCGUGUUCCCUGGCAGCUCUUGCUGGGACAUCUUGACAAUGUGAGAUCAGUUGACUUCACAGCUGCUCUCCUCUUGGCUAAUUUGUUCUGGGACACCGGACUUGCACAACUUGUCCUCAGCUUUUCAUAGGCAUCUGCUGGAUAUAGCAUUCUUCCUGCUUAUUAAUCUCUGUGGAUCAAACAAUUUCAAAAAGGAGGCAGGUGCCAACCUCUCCCCAGAGCACCAGUUGGUGCUAAAGGCAAUUAAGGUGAAUACUCAGCGAUAGAGGUUGAGAAAGAUUUGAGGUAGAUAGCAUAUGCUCAAUGUAAGCUGUAACCUGAAUGAACAAUAUCCACUGUUGUGUUUUUGGAAAGCCCCCAGGAACUUGCUGUUCCAGCAGGAUUCUUGUGAGUGCCAUGUUAGAACUAGAAGCCUUUCUGUUUCUCAUGGCAGCUGA
ensembl:lncRNA